rnacentral:rRNA from 1 species
AUGUCCGGAUUCAGCCCUCAAGGCCGAUGGAUGCCCUCCUCCGUGACAGAAGAGGACAUUAAGAAGUUGAGGGAGGCCAGAUACCUGACCGCCAAGGUUUCUCAUCGGCUGCCUACUCGAGGGCAGGUCGUCCCUACUCCCGAACCCAACGAGAACGUUGUGUUCAUAUCCCACUUCCUCCGAGGUCUAGGCCUCACUCUGGAUCCUUUCGUCAGGGGCUUGAUGUUCUAUUACGGGCUAGAUUUCCACGAUCUAGCUCCGGACUCCUUUCUCCACAUCACGACAUUUAUUGUCGUGUGUGAGGCCUUCCUCCGUGUGACCCCUCACUUUGGCCUGUGGCUCAAGACCUUUGAAGUACAACCGAAGAUGAUCGAGGGGCAACAUGCAGCGUGCGGAGGUGCAUCAAUAGGCAAGAUGGCAGGAGCUCCAUGGCCGAAAGGUUCCUUUCCAGAGGUGUCCGAAUUAUGGCAAUGGGAGUGGUUUUACGUCACGGCUCCUAGAAGUGCCAAGUGGGCGGCUGCCCCCGCGUUCCGCCCGAGCCCCCCCCCCCCACAACUGAUGUCAUGGAUUAGCAGGGGUCUGAGCUGGGGUCCAGCCAAGGACGUGCCUAUACUGCAAAGCCGCAUCCGAGAUCUCUUUGAGGGAGAUUUUAAUUUGGUUGCGGUAAUACAAGUUAUGCUGGUUCGUCAAGUCUAG